rnacentral:lncRNA from 1 species
AAUAAAAUUUCUGUUUGUAAUCAACCUAAUAUAAAUUCAACACACAAUUAAGAUUUAGGAAUGUGUAACACCCCAAGGCUCUUAAUUUUCAAAAGUCACAAAACUAUGUUUACUCAAAUGGUUUGACAUUAUUUAAAAAUUGGAUUCUAUCUUAUUCUCUUGAGGAAAUUUUUGGGUAGUUAGAAGUUUUGACAUAAUUAAUUUCUGAAUAUUUCACAUUUAUCUUUCAGAUUUUCCUGACAUCAAUGUAUCCUUUUGAGUAUAUUAUCGUAUCUCUUAACAUUUCUGUUUCAUCCUUGACCUGAGACUUUUUUUUUUUUUUUUAAUCUUGAGAUAAUUCUUGGCUUUGUCAAGGCUACUGGUGACAAAAGCAUUAGCAAGCAGGUGCAGAGUGCUUUUUCCACCAAAGAAGAGACAUUGUACUCUUUUUGGGGUUAUAUUAAUGACUAAUUCACCUCUCUGUCCUCCUCAAUGCCAUCUGUCUUUUGUUUGGUCUCCCUGAUGUUAGUCACGAAGUCUGCUUAGAAGGAUUUAUGUCUUACUUUGAUAUAGGUUCUAUACUCAAUGCUAGGGAACAAUCAUUGGCAAGAUGUGUCUCCUUUACUCAAAGAGGUUUUAAUGGUCUAUGUUUGGAAAAGAGACAUACAGUCAUUAGAAUGCAAUAUUGUGAAAGUUGACAAGGGAAAUUCUUGGGGUUAUGGGAAUCUUCAAUAUCUUUAUUGAGAAAUACAGAUAUACACAUUUAUCAAAACUCAUAAAAUGAUGAAUUUGUAGUAUUUUAUUGUGUAUAAAUUAUGCCUCAAUAAAAGUUCAUUGUAAUGUGCUGAAAGAA